rnacentral:rRNA from 1 species
AGAACGAACGCUGGCGGCAUGCCUAACACAUGCAAGUCGGACGCUUUCGGGGGCUUCGGCCUCCGAGGGAGUGGCGGACGGGUGAGUAGCGCGUGGGAACCUGCCCCUUUGUGGGGGAUAACCGAGGGAAACUUCGGCUAAAUACCGCAUGCGCCCGGGGGUAACUCCGGGGAAAGAUUUAUCGCAGAGGGAGGGGCCCGCGUCGGAUUAGGUAGUUGGUGGGGUAACGGCCUACCAAGCCUUUGAUCCGUAGCUGGUCUGAGAGGAUGAUCAGCCACACUGGGACUGAGACACGGCCCAGACUCCUACGGGAGGCAGCAGUGGGGAAUAUUGGACAAUGGGCGCAAGCCUGAUCCAGCAAUGCCGCGUGAGUGAUGAAGGCCUUAGGGUUGUAAAGCUCUUUCGGCGGGGACGAUGAUGACGGUACCGCAGAAGAAGCCCGGCUAACUUCGUGCCAGCAGCCGC